rnacentral:rRNA from 1 species
AUUGAACGCUAGCGGGAUGCCUUACACAUGCAAGUCGAACGGAGUGGCGAACGGGUGAGUAAUGUAUCGGAACGUGCCCAGUAGCGGGGGAUAACUACGCGCAAGCGGAGCCAAUACCGCAUACUCUUGGAGCGGCCGAUAUCGGAGUAGCUAGUUGGGGGGGUAACGGCUUACCAAGGCGACGAUCCGUAGCUGGUUUCAGAGGACGACCAGCCACACUGGGACGUAGACACGGCCCAGACGCCUACGGGAGGCAGCAGUGGGGAAUUUUGGGCAAUGGGGGAAAGCCUGAUCCAGCCAUCCCGCGUGUGCGAUGAAGGCCUUCGGGUUGUAAAGCACUUUUGGCAGGAAAGCGGUACCUGCAGAAUAAGCAACGGCUAACUACGUGCCAGCCGCCGCGGUAAUAC